AUUGAACGCUGGCGGCAGGCCUAACACAUGCAAGUCGAGCGAGCGGCGGACGGGUGAGUAAUGUAUGGGGACUGCCCGAUAGAGGGGGCUAACUACUGGAAACGGUGGCUAAUACCGCAUACCAUCAGAUAACCCACAUGGGAUGAGCUAGUAGGUAGGGUAAAGGCUCACCUAGGCGACGAUCUCUAGCUGGUCUGAGAGGAUGACCAUGCAACCUGGGACUGAACAACGGCCCAGACUCCUACGGAGGCAGCAGUGGGGAAUAUUGCACAAUGGGAGCAAGCCUGAUGCAGCCAUGCCGCGUGUAUGAAGAAGGCCUUAGGGUGGUAAAGUACUUUCAGCAGGGAGGCGUUACCCGCAGAAGAAGCACCGGCUAACUCCGUGCCAGCCGCCGCGGUAAUUC
rnacentral:rRNA from 1 species